rnacentral:lncRNA from 1 species
AUGUUCACCGGCAGCUGGUGUUUGUUGGCGAAGUUGACUAGCAUGGCCAGAAGCUCCUGCCUUCCGUGCUUGGCGGCCCAAUGCAGGCAAGUGAAGCCGGUAAUGAAGUCCCGCUUGACCAGCAGGCCGGGCUCGCAGGUGAGCAAGCCCUCCAGGCUGUCCCACUUGCCAUCGGAGGCAGAGAGCAUCCAGGCGUGCUCCAGGGGGUCUAGCGUCACGGAGCCUCCGCCGCUGCUCUCCUCCUCCGCGGACGACGAGGCCACCGAUGCGCUGUCUGAGUCGCCACCGCCUCUGCCGCGUCCUCCCCCGGAGGAGCUGCCCGGGCUGCUGCCCCCGGGACACACGCUCCUCUUCAGCUGCGGGGAACUGCCCAUCACCAGGUCGCGGAAGUUCUGGCGGGCCGGCCUCUGUGCGGUGGCCCCCCCCAAGGGAGCUGCUCCUGUCCGCCUCCUCGCAGCCAUGGGGCGGGGGUUCCAGGUCCUCACUGGGUCCCGGGGCCGGAGUCCGGGGCAGGGGCUGCACUUCGCGCCGCGAGUUCUUCCUGCGAGCCCCGGCGCUCAGGGGCGGCCCGUGAGCGGCGGCGUGGGGCUCUCCCUCGCCCAGCUCGCGGCCCUGUCCAGGGAGCGCCUCCGGGGCCGCUGCGUCGGGGAGCCGAUCGCGCACCUCGGGCCCGGCCGGGCAGUCGGGGGCCUCGGGCUCGGCGGUCACCUGGAUUCGCGGCGGGUCCCCGGAGGGCUCGGACGGCCCCUCACAGAACCUCUUCUUGAGGUGCACGUACUUGGCGCCGUCGGCGGGAUCGACGCGCACCGUGGCCACGGCGUUCACCAGCUCCUUGAAGUGCGCGCGGGCGCGGGCGCGCUGCUCGGGUUCGCCGCCCAGUGCGCCCCUGAAGUGCUGCACCAGCUCGGCAUGGAGGGCCCGGCCCCCGCGCUCCGCCAGGAAGCGCAGCACCGCCUCGGGGCCCAGCACUGCCUCGGGGCCCCACUCUGCCGACCCCUCCAUCCUAGACCGCGCUGCUCCCCCGCCAGCGGGCGGCUCAGCGCGGUCCCAUCGCGGCGGGCUCCCAGCGGCCGUCUCCCGACGACGGCGGAGUCUGGCGGGCUCAGCGGGCUGCCAGCCUAG